CGUGUAUUUAACAUUUAUGGAAGGAGUCUCCAGUGUCAGGACAGAGGAGAUUAUACGUUUUGCGGUUUCUUGGUAACAUGACAAGUUGUGGGGGUUUUUUUUGUCUUAUUAACGUUCCUGAGGAAUCUUCUCCCGUUCCUCAUGAGGAACAUCCUCCAGGUCAGUAAUAUUCUUGGGUUUGCGUGCUGCGACCGCCUUCUUCAAAUCCCACCAGAGAUUUUCCAUGGGGUUCGAGUCAGGUGACUGUGACGGCCCUGUAGAAUCUUCCAGAACUUCUCCUGCAGCCAAGCCUUGGUGGAAUUUGAGGUACGCUUGGGAUCAUCGUCCUGUCGGAAGGUCCGAUGACGCACAAGCUUCAGCUUCCUCACAGACGGGGUGAAGUUUUCUCCUAGGAUUUCCCGAUACUUCAAUGAAUCCGUCUCGCCUUCCACACGCUGCAGGUUUCCAGUGCCGGAGGACGCAAAGCAGCCGCAGAGCAUCACCGAGCCCCCACCAUGCUCGACUGUGUACAGAGUGUUCUUUCUUCAUUCUCCUUCCUCCAGACGUACCGCUGAUCCAUCGUGUAGAAAAGUUCCAGUGUUGUUUCAUCGCACCACAGAACAGAAUCCCAAACCUUCUGUGGAUUAUUUAUAUGAUUUUGAGCGACUUUUCUUGUGCUUUUGGGUCAGUAGCGGUGAACGUCUCGGAGUUCUGGCACGGAAACCUUCUGCGUUUAGUACGCUCCUUACUGUGCUCACUGAAACCUCAGCGCCUGUUACACCAGGUCUCGCUGCAGGUCUUUUACAGUCACUCGAGGGUUUUUCACAACCUGCCUUCUCAGACGUCUGCCUGCAGCCGUCGAUAUCUUCCUUUUUCUGCUCCGUCCAGGUAUUUCAUACGUGUUCUACCCCUAGCCAGUUCAGGUAUUUCAUGUGUUCCAGCUCAAGCGCACCUGCUGCAACUAAUGAAGCCCUUGAUUAGCUUGAGACGACACCUGUUCUGCAUAUUCGUGCUGUUGUGAGGGAUUCUAUGCAGGGGGGUGAAUACUUUUGAGACCGGAGAAAUCAUAAUAAGUCGCAUUUUCAGUUGAAUUUAUUGAAACCGUUUGAAGCGUCCGUCGUGUCGAACUAUC
ensembl:lncRNA